GGCUGCUGCCUGUGGGUCUGAGUACAGGGACCACAGUGAUGGAGCAGGGCCUUCUGGGACCAAUCUGCUUCCAUUGCUAAAUAAGGGAACGUGAGACACCGAAGGAUGAAGGAAAGUAUUCUUGUGAAGGAAGUGAAUCUAUCCUUUGCUGUCAAAGGCCAGAAGUAGUUUCAUAAGAAUAGAGCAAGACAAAUAACCAAAGCUUCUGAGGUUACAGAAGUAUUGACUUGUUCCAAUCAAGAAUAAGGAAACCACUUAUACCUACUAGAUUUUUAGCAGUACAGCUGAUCGUAUGGAGAGAAAGAGAGAAACCAAUCCAGCAAUUCAUCACGCAGAAGGAGGUCAUAUUUCGAGAUGCAAGGAUGACACAUGGCUGUAGUUUACAGGAAGGAAUUAGCGGAUCCAUCCUUUUAAGGAGGUAAGAAAUACAAUACACCAUUCCCAUAAUAGUCAAUGGUACUGGUCAUACUUUGAGGUGGAAGGAAGGUAACUGAGGACAUUUUCAUCUCUCUAAAGAGCAUGAGAAGUUGCUGUACUGAAUAAAGCACUAAAAAUGGGAGCUACCUGUUCAGAUGAAAGGAAAGUAGUUGGUAAUUCUAACCAAAGAUGAUGAUCUUUGUUCCUUUUUCCUUCCCAGAGAAGGCCAUUGGUUGUUCCUACAAGGAUGGAACAGGGAAGUUAUUUCAAAGAACAAAUGCAACUAACCAGAG